rnacentral:rRNA from 1 species
GAUGAACGCUGGCGGCGUGCCUAAUACAUGCAAGUCGAGCGAACGGACGAGAAGCUUGCUUCUCUGAUGUUAGCGGCGGACGGGUGAGUAACACGUGGAUAACCUACCUAUAAGACUGGGAUAAUUUCGGGAAACCGGAGCUAAUACCGGAUAAUAUUUUGAACCGCAUGGUUCAAAAGUGAAAGUCGGUCUUGCUGUCACUUAUAGAUGGAUCCGCGCUGCAUUAGCUAGUUGGUAAGGUAACGGCUUACCAAGGCAACGAUGCAUAGCCGACCUGAGAGGGUGAUCGGCCACACUAGAACUGGGCCACGGUCCAGACUCCUACGGGAGGCAGCAGUAGGGAAUCUUCCGCAAUGGGCGAAAGCCUGACGGAGCAACGCCGCGUGAGUGAUGAAGGUCUUCGGAUCGUAAAACUCUGUUAUUAGGGAAGAACAUAUGUGUAAGUAACUGUGCACAUCUUGACGGUACCUAAUCAGAAAGCCACGGCUAACUACGUG